rnacentral:lncRNA from 1 species
CAUAAUUUCUACGAAGUCAUACAUGAGAAGCUCGCACCUAACCACAUUCUCAAUGAUGAAAAGCAAAAUGAAACGUCUAUCAAAAUUCCAGUGACAUUUUCCACAGAAAUGGAACAAAAAUCCUAACAUUUGUACGGAACCACAAAAGAUCCCAAACAGCCAAGGCAAUCUUGAGAAUCAACAAAGGGCCUGCACACCAAUGAAACUACUGAUAUCAGCUGUUCUGAAGAAACCCAGAAGAGACUGAAUCACCAAAGAGUGCAGUUUCCACAUCCUGAUGAUUUUAUCAUCCUUACUCUGACCAAACAGUGACCUCAAUUUUACAGCCCCUCACACCCUAUAAUCAUCCUAAAAACUUCAGCCCAGAACUCCUCAGGAGGAUAAUUUGAGGGUUUCUCCCAUUUCCUUAUUUGGCUGCCCUGUAAUCAUUAAACACUUUCUCUGCUGCAAACCCUGUUGUCUUGGUGUAUUGGUCUGUUACUGUGCAGCAGGCAUUAUGAACCUAGCGGUCCUACAAUAUCAGAGUGUGAAACCACUGGCCAGAGAGUUCUGGAUCUAAAUUCUGAUUUUCCCAUUUAUUGGCACUGUGAUUUUGGAC